GUGCCAGCAGCCGCGGUAAUACGUAGGGCGCAAGCGUUAUCCGGAUUUAUUGGGCGUAAAGAGCUCGUAGGCGGUUUGUCGCGUCUGCCGUGAAAGUCCGAGGCUCAACCUCGGAUCUGCGGUGGGUACGGGCAGACUAGAGUGAUGUAGGGGAGACUGGAAUUCCUGGUGUAGCGGUGAAAUGCGCAAAUAUCAGAGGAACCCCGAUGGCGAAGCAGGUCUUCUGGGCCAUUUACUGACGCUGAAGAGCGAAAGCAUGGGGACGAACAGGAUAGAUACCUGGUAGUCC
rnacentral:rRNA from 1 species